CAGUAGCCGCGGUAAUACGUAGGGUGCAAGCGUUAAUCGGAAUUACUGGGCGUAAAGCGUGCGCAGGCGGUUCGCUAAGACAGAUGUGAAAUCCCCGGGCUUAACCUGGGAACUGCAUUUGUGACUGGCGGGCUAGAGUAUGGCAGAGGGGGGUAGAAUUCCACGUGUAGCAGUGAAAUGCGUAGAGAUGUGGAGGAAUACCGAUGGCGAAGGCAGCCCCCUGGGCCAAUACUGACGCUCAUGCACGAAAGCGUGGGGAGCAAACAGGAUUAGAUACCCGUGUAGUCCCUGUCUCUUAUAU
rnacentral:rRNA from 1 species